rnacentral:rRNA from 1 species
GAGAUUCCCCCAGUAGCGGCGAGCGAACGGGGAGGAGCCCAGAGCCUGAAUCAGUGUGUGUGUUAGUGGAAGCGUCUGGAAAGGCGCGCGAUACAGGGUGACAGCCCCGUACACAAAAAUGCACAUGCUGUGAGCUCGAUGAGUAGGGCGGGACACGUGGUAUCCUGUCUGAAUAUGGGGGGACCAUCCUCCAAGGCUAAAUACUCCUGACUGACCGAUAGUGAACCAGUACCGUGAGGGAAAGGCGAAAAGAACCCCGGCGAGGGGAGUGAAAAAGAACCUGAAACCGUGUACGUACAAGCAGUGGGAGCACAGAGCAAUCUGUGUGACUGCGUACCUUUUGUAUAAUGGGUCAGCGACUUAUAUUCUGUAGCAAGGUUAACCGAAUAGGGGAGCCGAAGGGAAACCGAGUCUUAACUGGGCGUUAAGUUGCAGGGUAUAGACCCGAAACCCGGUGAUCUAGCCAUGGGCAGGUUGAAGGUUGGGUAACACUAACUGGAGGACCGAACCGACUAAUGUUGAAAAAUUAGCGGAUGACUUGUGGCUGGGGGUGAAAGGCCAAUCAAACCGGGAGAUAGCUGGUUCUCCCCGAAAGCUAUUUAGGUAGCGCCUCGUGAAUUCAUCUCCGGGGGUAGAGCACUGUUUCGGCAAGGGGGUCAUCCCGACUUACCAACCCGAUGCAAACUGCGAAUACCGGAGAAUGUUAUCACGGGAGACACACGGCGGGUGCUAACGUCCGUCGUGAAGAGGGAAACAACCCAGACCGCCAGCUAAGGUCCCAAAGUCAUGGUUAAGUGGGAAACGAUGUGGGAAGGCCCAGACAGCCAGGAUGUUGGCUUAGAAGCAGCCAUCAUUUAAAGAAAGCGUAAUAGCUCACUGGUCGAGUCGGCCUGCGCGGAAGAUGUAACGGGGCUAAACCAUGCACCGAAGCUGCGGCAGCGACGCUUAUGCGUUGUUGGGUA